rnacentral:rRNA from 1 species
ACAGGGCGUAAAGCGCACGCAGGCGGUCUGUCAAGUCGGAUGUGAAAUCCCCGGGCUCAACCUGGGAACUGCAUUCGAAACUGGCAGGCUAGAGUCUUGUAGUCCCGCAACGAGCGCAACCCUUAUCCUUUGUUGCCAGCGGUUAGGCCGGGAACUCAAAGGAGACUGCCAGCUGUCUCUUAUACACAUCU